rnacentral:lncRNA from 1 species
CCGAAAUAAGAUACCAUUUCAAGUAAGCACAUGGCUCAUGAACUUGAAGAAAUAAGAAACAAUAUCAAUAAACACUGACAUAAUGUGAGCUAUCGCCUGAAAUAUCCACUUUUUCUAUGAUAAGAACCAUGUUGGUGAAAGAGUUUCAAACAUUAUGAUUUUACUUUGUUUACGGGGGGAUUACUCUGCCUGGGUGAGCUCGGGUAAAAGAGGAGGGAUACAAUAGGCUGGAAGCCAAUGUAAAACUAGCCAAGUAAUAUGAAUCCUCAACAAUACUUUGUCUAGGGGACAGAGGGGAGGUCACAUGUUUAGUCGUUAAACUAUUUUUACUUAGCCAUCAAAUAUGGUUGCCAGUGCAACCUAGCUAAGUAACGGAAGCAUAAUUGACAAUG